UACGAAGGGGGCUAGCGUUGUUCGGAUUUACUGGGCGUAAAGCGCACGUAGGCGGAUUGUUAAGUCAGGGGUGAAAUCCUGGAGCUCAACUCCAGAACUGCCUUUGAUACUGAGGAUCUUGAGUACGGGAGAGGUGAGUGGAACUGCGAGUGUAGAGGUGAAAUUCGUAGAUAUUCGCAAGAACACCAGUGGCGAAGGCGGCUCACUGGCCCGUAACUGACGCUGAGGCACGAAAGCGUGGGGAGCAAACAGG
rnacentral:rRNA from 1 species